GCUGUGCCGGUUCGAUAGGGAUACUCAUCAAAUUACAUUGAAAACCGAGCUGACUUCUCUUGCCAAUGGCGGGCCACAGUGCGUGUCGGAUUCCGACCCCGCGUCGGAAGAUAUUCUGGCAUGUAAGCCGAAAGGCCGGUGGAUUACAACGACGGAGAGCACUCACAUCUUUUAACAAAGGAGUUUUCAUCACAUCACCGGGCGGCAC
rnacentral:sRNA from 1 species